UUAGGGGAAGCCAAAAAGAGGCAAAUCACUGUUAAUGAUACAAUUGAAAUUUAAUUUCCUCCUAAG
rnacentral:tRNA from 1 species